GACGAACGCUGGCGGCGUGCUUAACACAUGCAAGUCGAACGGAAAGGCCCUGCUUUUGUGGGGUGCUCGGGUGGCGAACGGGUGAGUAACACGUGUGUAACCUGCCCUCGACUUUGGGAUAACUUCAUGAAACUGGGGCUAAUACCGGGUAGGAUCUCCUGCUGCAUGGUGGGGGUGGGAAAGUUUCGGCGGUUGGGGAUGGACUCGCGGCUUAUCAGAUUGUUGGUGGGGUAGUGGCUUACCAAGGCUUUGACGGGUAGCCGGCCUGAGAGGGUUACCGGCCACAUUGCGACUGAGAUACGGCCCAGACUCCUACGGGACGCAGCAGUGGGGAAUAUUGCACAAUGGGCUGGAGCCUGAUGCAGCAACGCCGCGUGCGGGAAGACAUCAUUGGGGUUGUAAACCGAUUUCGCCUGUGACGAAGCGUGAGUGACGGUAAUGGGUAAAGAAGCCCCGGCUAACUACGUG
rnacentral:rRNA from 1 species